rnacentral:rRNA from 1 species
GACAGAGGGUGCAAACGUUGUUCGGAAUUACUGGGCGUAAAGCGCGUGUAGGCGGCACGGCAAGUCGGAUGUGAAAUCCCGUGGCUCAACCAUGGAAGUGCACCCGAAACUGCCGAGCUGGAGUCCCGGAGAGGAAGGUGGAAUGCUUGGUGUAGAGGUGAAAUUCGUAGAUAUCAAGCGGAACACCGGUGGCGAAGGCGACCUUCUGGACGGUGACUGACGCUGAGACGCGAAAGCGUGGGGAGCAAACAGG